rnacentral:rRNA from 1 species
GUACACGCUGUGACUAGCAUAUCAAUAAGCGGAGGAAAAGAAACUAACAAGGAUUCCCCUAGUAACGGCGAGUGAAGCGGGAAGAGCUCAAAUUUGAAAUCUUAAAGGGUUUCCCUUUACGAAUUGUAGUUUAAAGAAGUGUUUUCUGUUGAGGUUUUGGUAAAAGUUCUUUGGAAUAGGACAUCAUAGAGGGUGAGAAUCCCGUAUUUGACCUUUACUUUCAACUUUGUGAUACACUUUCAAAGAGUCGGAUUGUUUGGGAAUGCAGUCCAAAAUGGGUGGUAAAUUUCAUCUAAAGCUAAAUAUUGGCGAGAGACCGAUAGCGAACAAGUACCGUGAGGGAAAGAUGAAAAGAACUUUGAAAAGAGAGUUAAACAGUACGUGAAAUUGUCAAAAGGGAAGCGUUUGACACCAGUGUUGUUUUUCUGAAAAUCAAUUAAAGAACUGUUUAUGCUAAGUUGUUUAGACUUUAUCAGCUAACUGUUUAGUUUUGAGCUUUUCUUUAAUGCACUUUUCAGUUAACAAGUCAACAUCAAUUUCUUUUGCUGUAAAAAAGCUUGAGGAAGGUGGCUUGAGAUUCGUCUUAAGUGUUUAUAGCCUCUUGCCUAUGCAGUCGGAGAGAUUGAGGUCUGCAGCGUAGAUCCUUCGGGGCUAAAUGCAUUUGUGCUAAGUUAUAGCCUUUAUAGACAACUUGUUGACUAUGAUUUGUCUUGUAGCUUACUCGCUUAUGUUAUUUUACCUACGCUUAGGAUGUUGAAGAUGUAGCACAUCAU